CCAGCCAGUUACUCCCGGAAGCGCUGGGACGGGUGGUGAGGGGCCCAUGCCGGAUGGCGCGCCUUAGAGCGGACGGUGUUCGUGCUGCUUUCCGUGCCGUGGUUUCUGAAAGCUUAAAUACAGACCAGAAGAGGAGUUUGGGGCUUGACACCUGACAUCUUAACACCUGUUCCUGUUUCUUGAGGAAGGAAGAGGUAAAAUAAAUCAGCGUUUACUGUUUCCUUCUCCAUCCCCGGAAGUCCUGAUGAAGACCCUCUCAGCUUCAACUUGAACGUGAAUAUGAGCAACUGAUCAUCUGUUCUGCAGUCAGCCUCUGGCCUGAUUCUGACUCAUGAUAUUGACCAAGUGAAGAGUGAUUCAGAGAAAAACAUGGGUAGAGUGUGACCUAAUUUUCUUAAAAACAAACAAAUGAAUGUACUUACAUGUGUCCCGGCAAAAAGAAGUGUGUAAAAGGGUACAUAUGUAUCUUUGGACACUGGACACUUCAGGGGAGCAGGUACAAUAUACUUAUGUGGGGAUGGCUCUUAUUAUAACUUCUGUAUACAAAUCUCUAUUGCUAAAUGUGUUAUAAGAAUGUAAAAGCUUUUAAAGUUUAAUAACAUCAUACGUGUAUGUGUGUGUAUUUGAAACUUUUUUUCUUUUGACUAUUUUAUGUAUGUGUUUUUUAGUUAUCUAGUUUUUUUUUUUAGUGUGGCUAUAGCAGAGAUACCACAAGUGGAUGGCUUUAACAAACAGAAACUUAUUCUCUCACAGUUUAAGAAGCAACAGGUUUGAAGUCAGGGCACCAGGUCUAGGAGAAAGCUUUCUCUCUUUGUGGCUCUGGGGAAGGUCCUUGUCAUCUAUCUUCCCCUGGCCUAGGAAAUUCUCAGCGCGUGGACACUGGGUCAAAAAGACCUGCUCCACUCCAGGCACUUCUUCCUUGGUGGUAUGAGGUCCCUCUCAUUUCCGCUCACUCUUCUCUUUGUAUCUCAAAAGAGACUGACUCAAGACUCACCCUAAUCCUGUAGAUUGUGUCCUCCCUCAUUAACCUAACUGCCUCUAAUCCCGCCUUAUUAACCUCACAGAGGUUAGAAUUUACAACACAUAAGUAAGUAAUCACAUCAGAUCACAAAAUGCAGGACAACCACACAAUACUGGGAAUCAUGGUCUGGCCAGGUUGGCACACAUUUUGGGGGACACUAUUCAAUCCAUAACAAUAGAGAAAACACUGUCUUCAAUGCCACAUUCAGAGACUUUUAUCAAUCUAUGAAGGGCAAACACAGAAACUGAACAAAAUUCAGACCAGCGAAUUAUUGCUUGCUCUUGUAACUAAUGACUUCUUCUGGUCUCUGUACCUGGAAAUGGCCAAAAAGAAUUCUGUGAGGAUUAAUUCAGUUAUUGCUAAAACAUCUACUGCAUUUACAUGUCUACAGGUAAGGAAGAAUGCUGGACACCAUGUGUGAUUCAUUAAGUAACACAGGGACUAUUAGACUGUUGUUCUCCUUCUCUGAUAUGCCACUAUCACCUUCUCCCCUUGUUGCUCUCCUGAAAAACCCACACUUGUAUAUUCUAGGCUUUUUUCCAGGAUUGAAUUUGCAGGAAGUUGAAGAUAUAUCUUUGAAAGAUAAAGAAGACUUUGGCCACAUUGUCUUUAGAUAGUCGAACUUCCCAGCCAGCCUCUGUGCAGGAUGGGAAUUCACAAUCCUUCCUACUCAGUACCUCUGAGCAGGACGGGAUUUCUGUUUCAUUAUCAGGAGACUGUGGAAUUCACCCCUCUUCAGAAAACUUACUUUCCUUUGCCUCAAACUCUCCCUCUCAGGAUCUGUCACGGUCACUCUGAGAAAUUCACAUGGGCAGCCUGUAUGGAAGUGCCCAUCCUAGAGGCCCUGCCCUCCCUUCCUUGCUCCGUAGGGCUUCCUCUGACACUUGGGGUCGCAUCUCCCAGGGAGUACACACCUCUGGCACUUCCAGGGAUUCCCAGGCCCUGGGAUACUGUGGAUGGGACUUGGAACUCAAUCUCUUUCUUCCCAUCCUCACCUUUGGUUAUCUGUGUUCUGUCUUCACCAGAUUUAGGAGGCCUUGUCUUCUCUUUGCUCAUUUCAUUUCAGUCAGGCUUUUCUAUUCCAACUCUGAUCUCAGGACAGAUCAGGUUAGACCACAUAAAAGAGAAAGACCAAGCAAACAUCACUGAUCUGUGCAGAAGCUGCUGGGAAGGGAUUCGAUUCUCAUUGGUUUAGGGUUUUAAGCCCACUGCUCACCGGCAGGCAGGUUCCCCCCAGAGUCUGGCUUCUGUUUGGUACCUUGUACUACAAAGAACUCAGUGACCAGCCCACCUUCACAAUCACACCUCCCUUAGAGCUAUCUUUGCAGAGGCUCUUUCUCAGACUUCCAUGUCCCACUGAAAU